rnacentral:rRNA from 1 species
CGGUGAAGCCCAGCUUGCUGGGUGGAUCAGUGGCGAACGGGUGAGUAACACGUGAGCAAUCUGCCCCUGACUCUGGGAUAAGCGCUGGAAACGGCGUCUAAUACUGGAUACGAACCGUGGAGGCAUCUUCAACGGUUGGAAAGAUUUUUUGGUCAGGGAUGAGCUCGCGGCCUAUCAGCUUGUUGGUGAGGUAAUGGCUCACCAAGGCGUCGACGGGUAGCCGGCCUGAGAGGGUGACCGGCCACACUGGGACUGAGACACGGCCCAGACUCCUACGGGAGGCAGCAGUGGGGAAUAUUGCACAAUGGGCGAAAGCCUGAUGCAGCAACGCCGCGUGAGGGAUGACGGCCUUCGGGUUGUAAACCUCUUUUAGCAGGGAAGAAGCGAAAGUGACGGUACCUGCAGAAAAAGCGCCGGCUAACUACGUGCCAGCAGCCGCGGUAAUACGUAGGGCGCAAGCGUUAUCCGGAAUUAUUGGGCGUAAAGAGCUCGUAGGCGGUUUGUCGCGUCUGCUGUGAAAUCCCGAGGCUCAACUUCGGGUCUGCAGUGGGUACGGGCAGACUAGAGUGCGGUAGGGGAGAUUGGAAUUCCUGGUGUAGCGGUGGAAUGCGCAGAUAUCAGGAGGAACACCGAUGGCGAAGGCAGAUCUCUGGGCCGUAACUGACGCUGAGGAGCGAAAGGGUGGGGAGCAAACAGGCUUAGAUACCCUGGUAGUCCACCCCGUAAACGUUGGGAACUAGUUGUGGGGUCCAUUCCACGGAUUCCGUGACGCAGCUAACGCAUUAAGUUCCCCGCCUGGGGAGUACGGCCGCAAGGCUAAAACUCAAAGGAAUUGACGGGGACCCGCACAAGCGGCGGAGCAUGCGGAUUAAUUCGAUGCAACGCGAAGAACCUUACCAAGGCUUGACAUAUACGAGAACGCUGCAGAAAUGUAGAACUCUUUGGACACUCGUAAACAGGUGGUGCAUGGUUGUCGUCAGCUCGUGUCGUGAGAUGUUGGGUUAAGUCCCGCAACGAGCGCAACCCUCGUUCUAUGUUGCCAGCACGUAAUGGUGGGAACUCAUGGGAUACUGCCGGGGUCAACUCGGAGGAAGGUGGGGAUGACGUCAAAUCAUCAUGCCCCUUAUGUCUUGGGCUUCACGCAUGCUACAAUGGCCGGUACAAAGGGCUGCAAUACCGUGAGGUGGAGCGAAUCCCAAAAAGCCGGUCCCAGUUCGGAUUGAGGUCUGCAACUCGACCUCAUGAAGUCGGAGUCGCUAGUAAUCGCAGAUCAGCAACGCUGCGGUGAAUACGUUCCCGGGUCUUGUACACACCGCCCGUCAAGUCAUGAAAGUCGGUAACACCUGAAGCCGGUGGCCCAACCC